rnacentral:rRNA from 1 species
UACGGAGGGGGUUAGCGUUGUUCGGAAUGACUGGGCGUAAAGGGUGCGUAGGCGGGUCUUUAAGUCAGGGGUGAAAUCCUGGAGCUCAACUCCAGAACUGCCUUUGAUACUGAAGAUCUUGAGUUCGGGAGAGGUGAGUGGAACUGCGAGUGUAGAGGUGAAAUUCGUAGAUAUUCGCAAGAACACCAGUGGCGAAGGCGGCUCACUGGCCCGAUACUGACGCUGAGGCACGAAAGCGUGGGGAGCAAACAGG